rnacentral:rRNA from 1 species
GACGAACGCUGGCGGCGUGCCUAAUACAUGCAAGUAGAACGCUGAAGGAGGAGCUUGCUUCUCUGGAUGAGUUGUGAACGGGUGAGUAACGCGUAGGUAACCUGCCUGGUAGCGGGGGAUAACUAUUGGAAACGAUAGCUAAUACCGCAUAAUAGCAGUUGUUGCAUGACAACUGUUUGAAAGGUGCAAUUGCACCACUACCAGAUGGACCUGCGUUGUAUUAGCUAGUUGGUGGGGUAACGGCUCACCAAGGCGACGAUACAUAGCCGACCUGAGAGGGUGAUCGGCCACACUGGGACUGAGACACGGCCCAGACUCCUACGGGAGGCAGCAGUAGGGAAUCUUCGGCAAUGGACGGAAGUCUGACCGAGCAACGCCGCGUGAGUGAAGAAGGUUUUCGGAUCGUAAAGCUCUGUUGUAAGAGAAGAACGAGUGUGAGAGUGGAAAGUUCACACUGUGACGGUAUCUUACCAGAAAGGGACGGCUAACUACGUG